rnacentral:rRNA from 1 species
UACGUAGGGUGCGAGCGUUAAUCGGAAUUACUGGGCGUAAAGCGUGCGCAGGCGGUUUUGUAAGCCAGAUGUGAAAUCCCCGGGCUUAACCUGGGAAUGGCAUUUGGGACUGCAAGGCUGGAGUGUGGCAGAGGAGACUGGAAUUCCUGGUGUAGCAGUGAAAUGCGUAGAUAUCAGGAGGAAUACCGAUGGCGAAGGCAGGUCUCUGGGCUGACACUGACGCUCAUGCACGAAAGCGUGGAGAGCAAACAGG